AGAGUGAAGCUCUGCCGGGCCAGGGGAGGCUCGUGCUCACAGGCUGUAGAAGGCAACACGGGAAUUAGAAAGGUCCAGCUGGGUGCGGACAGCUCAGGCUAGCAAGUGGCAUGGGGCACGUGCUCCCUUUGCCAGAAGAAGAAGGAAGAUGAAGGCAGAAGGAAGAAGAAGAAGGAGAAGAAGGAGAAGCAGCUUGGGCUAAUGAGAAGACACAAGAGGCUGGGGAGAAAGGACUGUUCAGAGCGUGCAUGGCGUAAUACGGGCCAGAGGGCAGAAUACAGGCUCUCCAGCAAACAGACCUCUGCUCUCUGCCUGUGUGACCCUGGACAAGACACUUCUCACUCUCAGUCUGUUUCCUUUUGGUGAAAUAAAGAAAUAA